GGGGCUGCAAAUGGUUUUGACUGUCGGAAAUGCCGAAGUGCUCCAGACAGGACGCAGGUUCGAUUCCUGCCAGCUCCACCA
rnacentral:tmRNA from 1 species